GAUGAACGCUAGCGGGAGGCUUAACACAUGCAAGUCGAGGGGCAGCAUAGGGUAGCAAUACUCUGAUGGCGACCGGCAAACGGGUGAGUAACGCGUAUGCAACCUACCCUGUACAGGGGGAUAACCCGGAGAAAUUCGGACUAAUAUCCCGUAAUAAUAUCCGGAGGCAUCUUUGGAUAUUUAAAGUUCCGACGGUACGGGAUGGGCAUGCGUAACAUUAACUGGUUGGUAAGGUAACGGCUUACCAAGGCUAUGAUGUUUAGGGGUCCUGAGAGGGUGGUCCCCCACACUGGUACUGAGACACGGACCAGACUCCUACGGGAGGCAGCAGUGAGGAAUAUUGGUCAAUGGGCGCAAGCCUGAACCAGCCAUCCCGCGUGCAGGAAGACGGCCCUAUGGGUUGUAAACUGCUUUUCCAGGGAGAGAAACUUACGCACGUGUUGCGUGACUGACGGUACCUGGGAAUAAGCAUCGGCUAACUCCGUGUCAGCAGCCGCGGUAAUACGUAGCGU
rnacentral:rRNA from 1 species